AUGAAAGUGAAAUUUAAAUAGACAUCCUGUAUUUUUUUCUUCCUUUUUCUAGCAACCCAGUGAUUCCAUGGAAAGCAGAAAGAAGGACAUAAAGAAAUGGAUACUUGGUGACAUCUUUGACUCACUGGAUCAAACCUUGCCUGAAGCUCACAUUUCUGAAAUUUCCAGAUACAAGAACAAAUAAUUUCUCUUUAUUGUUUUACUAGAUUUGAGACAAGCUUUAAGUUUCUCAGACUCUUCCUCUUCCUAACAGAUUUAUCAGAAGCUGAAAGCUCUGAUCUUGUUGGGAUGCGGAUCUUGUCAGGAGAAGGCUUACUUUGCACGCUUUUCUUAGUCUGGUUGCCUAACUCAAGAACCUCGGCACGGCUCUGUUACUUCUCUACUCAGACAAGCAUCCCUGCAGACACUCACUAGGCUAACUCUGUCUUUAUUUUUAGAAUUAGACCUUUACGAGAAGCACAGUUUUGUCUUCAGUUUCCUCUCCCCCCACCCGGAAUGGCCUGAGCCAAAGCCAGCUCCCUCUGAGAAGUCAUUACCGCCUACUUGCGUUUGAUAUUUAGACACCUUGGUCACAACAUCUUGCAUUCUCUCGGGAUGCUGAUUUCUAACUGCUCUUUGGCCUUUCCUGCAUUGGUCCUCCUCAGGCAGGGGAUCCCUGCUCUUCUAUAUUCGAGAUGCUAGGGAGCUCACCAGAAUCUCACCAGAAGAGAUGUUUCUCAGUCCCAUGGCUCUGACAUUUCUCAGGAAACCUUAGUGGUGAGAAAACCAAGGCUCAGAGAAACUAUGGAUUUUCUAAGAUGCUGGCUCCCCAUCCCCUGUCCACCAUGAGUCAAAGCAACAUGAGUCCCUCACCAGAUGCAACCGCCCAGUCUUGGACUUUCCAGCGACCAGAAUCAUGAGCCAAAUAAA
rnacentral:lncRNA from 1 species